rnacentral:rRNA from 1 species
GAUGAACGCUGGCGGCGUGCCUAAUACAUGCAAGUAGAACGCUGAAGCUUGGUGCUUGCACCGAGCGGAUGAGUUGCGAACGGGUGAGUAACGCGUAGGUAACCUGCCUCUUAGCGGGGGAUAACUAUUGGAAACGAUAGCUAAUACCGCAUAAAAGUCGAUAUCGCAUGAUAUUGAUUUGAAAGGUGCAAAUGCAUCACUAAGAGAUGGACCUGCGUUGUAUUAGCUAGUUGGUGAGGUAACGGCUCACCAAGGCGACGAUACAUAGCCGACCUGAGAGGGUGAUCGGCCACACUGGGACUGAGACACGGCCCAGACUCCUACGGGAGGCAGCAGUAGGGAAUCUUCGGCAAUGGGGGCAACCCUGACCGAGCAACGCCGCGUGAGUGAAGAAGGUUGUCGGAUCGUAAAGCUCUGUUGUAAGAGAAGAACGAGUGUGAGAGUGGAAAGUUCACACUGUGACGGUAACUUACCAGAAAGAGACGGCUAACUACGUG